rnacentral:rRNA from 2 species
CUUAGAGACGAUGAGGUAGAUAGGGCAGAGGUGGAAGUACGGUAACGUAUGCAGCUGACUGUCACUAAUAGGUCGAAGGCUUAUCCAAA